rnacentral:rRNA from 1 species
UAAGGCGACAAUAGCAAAAGGGAUACACCUGUAACCAUACCGAACACAGAAGUUAAGCCUUUUAGCGUCGAUGGUACUUAGCUGGUGACGGCUUGGGAGAGUAGAACAUCGCCUAAC